UUGACAAUUGGACCGUGAAGGCAUACUUUCAGGAGUGAGGGUAGAGCGGGGUUUCCCCCGCCCUGGUAGUCUUAGUAUGCUGGGUAGCUAAUCACUAAGAGCACCACGAUGAUGAGUAUCUUCAUCAUGACCCUUUCGUUAUU
rnacentral:sRNA from 2 species